rnacentral:rRNA from 1 species
AACGUAGGAGACAAACGUUAUCCGGAGUUACUGGGCGUAAAGGGCGUGUAGGUGGUUUCGUAAGUCUGGCGUGAAAUUUUUCGGCUUAACCGGGGAAGGUCGUCGGAUACUGCGGAACUAGAGGACGGUAGAGGCGUGUGGAAUUCCGGGUGUAGUGGUGAAAUGCGUAGAGAUCCGGAGGAACACCAGUGGCGAAGGCGACACGCUGGGCCGUACCUGACACUGAUGCGCGACAGCAUGGGGAGCAAACAGG